rnacentral:misc_RNA from 1 species
UAUUUAGUACACUGGUAGUGGGUAGUUUGUUUCUUGUACAAUGUAACGUGUUCGGCUAUGGCUUAUGUAUAAUUUGUUGUUUUAGACACGAGAAUACAAGAAAUUGGAGAACAAAAUGUAAAUGUAAAGAGAAAUAACUACAAAAUAGAAAUUGUAAUGUAAAUUUUGUAACUAGCCAAUUUUAAAUGACAUAAUUUUAAUGACAAUUUGAUAAGAAAUGACUAAUAUUUUUUAAAUCUUAACAAUUUAAAUAAUGAAUAAUAAAAAUUAAUAUAUAAAAUUGAAGAAAAAUACAUGUGGGUAGAAAUAAUAUAAAUUAAAGGAACCAAAAUAGGAGGAAAAAAAUUAUAAAUUUAAUUAACAUAUGUAAAGAUGCAGUUCAAUAGUCAAGUUCGGAGAAUUUGAUGCCUUGAAAUUGUAAAAUCAAAA